CUACGGGAGGCUCCAGUGGGGAAUAUUGCACAAUGGGGGAAACCCUGAUGCAGCGACGCCGCGUGAAGGAUGAAGGUCUUCGGAUCGUAAACUUCUAUCAGCAGGGAAGAAACAAAUGACGGUACCUGACUAAGAAGCUCCGGCUAACUACGUGCCAGCAGCCGCGGUAAUACGUAGGGAGCGAGCGUUAUCCGGAUUUACUGGGUGUAAAGGGUGCGUAGGCGGCCUGGUAAGUUAGAAGUGAAAUUUUGGGGCUCAACCCCAGAGCUGCUUCUAAAACUGCUGGGCUAGAGUGCAGGAGAGGAAAGCGGAACUCCACGUGUAGCGGUGAUAUGCGUAGAGAUGUGGAGGAACACCAGUAGCGAAGGCGGCUUUCUGGACUGUAACUGACGCUGAGGCACGAAAGCGUGGGGAGCAAACAGGAUUAGAUACCCGAGUAGUC
rnacentral:rRNA from 1 species